AGCGAACGCUGGCGGCAGGCUUAACACAUGCAAGUCGAACGCCCGGGCAACCGGGAGUGGCAGACGGGAGAGUAACACGUGGGAACGUACCCUUCGGUUCGGAAUAACCCAGGGAAACUUGGGCGUAAUACCGGAUACGUCCGUAAAGGAGAAAGAUUCAUCGCCGAGGGAUCGGCCCGCGUCCGAUUAGCUAGUUGGUGAGGUAAUGGCUCACCAAGGCGACGACGGGUAGCCGGCCCGAGAGGGCGACCGGCCACACUGGGACUGAGACACGGCCCAGACUCCUACGGGAGGCAGCAGUGGGGAAUAUUGCACAAUGGGCGAAAGCCUGAUGCAGCGACGCCGCGUGAGGGAUGACGGCCUCGGUUGUAA
rnacentral:rRNA from 1 species